CAUCCUCCUCGCUCGCUCUCUUCCCUCCUCUGUCACCCGACCGCAAUCGUCGUGUCGUCGUCGUGCUCGUGGCCGAUAACCUCCCCGGUGCUCAGGAGGAAGUCGAGGAGCAUCGCCGUCCUCUUCUGCAUCGUCUGCAAGCGCCAGGUCGAGCCGGAGCAACUGGAGCCAUCGCCAUCAUCCUUCUUCCCCAACCACGGUCGUCGUCGUCCACCUCGUCGACCCGUUCGCCUUCGGCCGUCCUCGUGCGUCCCCAACCCCCUCGAGCUCGUCCACGACCUCCCCCUAGUGAGCUCUCCUCGGUUUUCCCACCCCCUCCUGUUUUCCUCUUCAAGUAGGACGCCGGAUCCCCUGCGACUGAGCUCGCGCUCGCGGCUCGCCAUGCCCGGUCCGAAUCCCAUGUGCCCCUGUCCGCUCCUUCCCGGGCCCGCCUUCGCCCUGGCCGCGGCCUGCGCGUGCACGCGCGCCUGCGUGCCUGCCCUCUGCUGUUGCUAGUCGCUAGCUGCCGCUCCUACUGCUGGUGUUGCUGCCCAUGCCGCUGAUGUGCUGCUCGUGCGUUGCUUUUGUUGUGGACGCCGCUGCAGCUCGUUGUUCCCUACGACCGCCGCUGCCUGCUGCUAUUUGCGUACAACCGCGUCGGCGCCCUGGCCGCUCCAUGUGCGCCCUGGCCUUGUGCCUAGCCUGCUCCCACCUCGGCCAGCCGGCACACCACCCUCGUCCUCUCCCUGCACCUCCUCUGACCGCGCUCGGCCAUGGCCAAGUCGAGCGUGUGUCGUCCCAGGCAUGGCCCAAGGCCACUUCACGUACGGGCCGGCCAUCUCUCGGGGCUAAUCCCCUUUUAGAAAUUAAACCCCCCAUGUGGUUGUUUCACUAAGGUAUGGGGUCCAACCCCACUAACUACCCCUUUUAAUUUAACCCACUAGACAAACAACUACAGAGUAUGAGACGUGGCCCCCUGUUAACUGUUACUAUUUAAUUAUCUGAAAAAUCACGAGUCAAUGACAGCCGGGACCCACCUGUAUUGUUCACUUUGACCGGUCAACGCUGCUUGGGCUGUUGACUUUGAUCGUGGCCCCACUGUCAGCCUCUAACACACACUACUGGGUAUAUUUUCGGGUGCACCUAGCUGUUAGUCCAUUUAAUUUUUCGAAUUAGUGUUAAAUCCAGAAUUUUAGAAAAUGUGUUAAACUUUGAAAAUUAAUAUAAAAUAAACCGUAGCUCGGAUCAAAAAAACUUUAUACAUGAAAGUUGCUCAGAAAAACAUGACGAAUCCGAAUACGCGGUCCGUUCAUCUAUCACAUGCCCCUAGCAUGCUGAACAUGGAACUUUCCCCCUCCGGUCAUCUGUCUAACACAGGUCCAGAACCGGGAAAAGAAUCCCGGUUGACUUCCCCCCGCACCGGUAUCGUGUAGCACCGUGUUAGAACACGUCUAGCUCUGCUUGUUGUCCUGUUAUGCUAUGUUUGCUUUAUAUUUACUAUUUCUUCCUCCUCUUCUCUCCGGUAGACCCCGAGACCGAUGCUGCCCCUGUGAUCGACUACGUCGACGACGACCCCUCCUUUCCAGAGCAACCAGGCAAGCCCCCCCUUUGAUCAUCCCGAUAUCGCCCAUUCCAUUCUCUCAUGCUUGCAUUAGAUUUUGCUACUAUUAUUGUUUGCUCCUAUUCUGAUGCAUAGCCUGUUUAUUGUAGCCUGUUGUUAUUAACUACUUGCUUAUCCUAAACUGUUUAGUAUAGGUUCAGUAGUGAUCCAUCAGUGACCCCCACCUUGUCCUUGUUGCCCCUGCUUCAUCAUCGAAGACCCGAUCAACAGGAUCGAAGACCAGGCCCCUUCAUCGCACAUCACUUUCCCCUUAGUUGCUCGACACUACUGGGUUACUAUCGAGUGCCGAGGGUGAGACCUCUACAGCACUUCUAGUGUUAACCCUGUAGUGUAGCUAUUCGGUCGUGGUCAUCGAGGGUGAUUCCGCCUUAACCACUUCCGAUACGACUCUGUCGUGCAACCCCUCAAGUGUGAAUCUCGGGGGUGAUUCCUCUUACGUUCACCUUGAUGAGUAUAUUGAGUGGAAUUCACCGAGGGUGAUUCCUCGGGUUUUCCCCUUGAUGUUUGGACACACGGGUACUUAUACUUUACAACUGUUACUUGGAAAGGCGGGUCGACCCUGAGGGGUACCCGCGAGUGAUGUGGAGACGAGUUGACCUGGAGGGUACCCGAGAGUUGAAUAUGAGGCGUGGUCGGGCAUUCUUAGCCCUUGCCGCAAGUCCUCGAGACGGGGCGACGGGGUCACAUCUUUCGUGAGUCUCUGCUCGUGACCGCACUACCAACACACUAACGGUUUGGAUAUUUGAUCCGAGGGGCCUCUGGCCUGAUAGCACUAACCAUCACGUGGGCAUAGUAUGGGCGUUUUGCGUCGUAUACAUCAGCCGAAGCUUAAUAGAUGUCAGUGACUGAGCGGCGCGCGCCGGGUUGGACUGGUAAGCUCCUGCCUUUUUAGGGAGGUAGCUAGGUCUGCUCACCGGCCGCAUUCGCAACGUGCAGGAGUUCCCGGGGAGAUGGCCCAUGACCCCUGGGGGCAUAGGUUUAGUCCGGUGUGCUGACCUCUUUAUUAAGCCUAAGUCGGGUUGCGGCGUAUUGUUUGGACGAGGCCGGACAUGACCCAGGAAAGUGUGUCCGGCUGGAGUUAAUCGAGCGUGGUGGGUAAGUUGGUGCACCCCUGCAGGGAAGAAAACAUCUAUCGAUAGCCUGUCCUACGGUAACGGACACUUGGAGUUGUAUCCUGAUCGAUACAACUAGAACUGGAUACUUGUGAUGAGAAUUGGUUUGUGAUGACAAUUGGAUAGUAUGGCUCUGGGAUUUCUUUCUCGUAGGGAGUCGAGAAAGGAUCUCUAGCCGAGGUUGAUAACACUACUACUACUUUACUUUAUGCUACUCUACUCCCUCCUGUUUGCUACAAGAUGGUGAUUUCCAGAAGAUGGUACUCUUCGAUAGGACCAGGCCUUCUCUCUAUUCUGGCAUUUCUGCAACCCAGUCCACAUAUACAACCUUCCUUUGAUAAUGUUGCAUAUGUAGUGUAGAUCCUUGCUUGCGAGUACUUUGGAUGAGUACUCACGGUUGCUUUGCUUCCCCUUUUCCCCUUUCUCCUUCUUUCCGGUUGAUGCAACCAGAUGUCGGAGCCCAGGAGCCAGAUGCCACCACCGAUGCCUACUACUACGCUGUCACGCCCAAUAUGCGACCCUAUCCAAAAGGAACUCGAAGGUCCCACCAAGGAUAGACCCGCAUAUUGAAACGCUUUUGCAAGGUGGAUAUCAUUACAUCAACAUUACAUAAUAGAUGGGGAUACAUACAAGAGGCAUACAAUGCCACACGAAUACAACAUCACAAUACAUAAGAGCAUCAUCCGACUACGGAUGAAACACAAACAGAAACUCAAAUGACAUCCACCCUGCUAGCCCAGGCUGCAGACCUGGAACCUAUCCCCUGAUCGAAGAAGAAGCAGAAGAAGAACUCCAACACAAGCAAACAUCGCUCUCGCGUCAUGAUCAUCGCAAAACCUAUACCUGCAACUGUUGUUGUAGUAAUCUGUGAGCCACGAGGACUCAUCAAUCCCAUUACCAUGGGUAUCAAGACUAGCAAAGCUUAAUAGGAAAGGAAGGGGUAAAGUGGUGAGGCUACAGCAUCGACUAAGCAUAUAUGGUGGCAAACAUACAUACGCAAAUAAGAGUGAGAAGAGAGCAAGCGAAACGGUCGUGAAACUAGCAAUGAUCAAGAAGUGAUCCUGAACUCCUACUUAUGUCAAACAUAACCCAGAAACCGUGUUCACUUCCCGGACUCCGCCGAAAAGAGACCAUCACGGCUACACACACGGUUGAUGCAUUUUAAUUCGUAUCUGGUGUCAAGUUAUCUACAAUCGAACAUUAACAAAUUCCCAUCUGCCUAUAACCGCAGGCACGGCUUUUGAAAGUUUAAACCCUGCAGGGGUGUCCCAACUUAGCCCAUGAUAAGCUCUCACGAUCAAUGAAGGAUAUACCUUCUCCCAGGAAGACCCGAUCAGUCUCGGAAUCCCGGUUUACAAGACAUUUCGACAAUGGUAAAACAAGUCCAGCAAGACCGCCCGAUGCGCCGACAAUCCCGAUAGGAGCUGCACAUAUCUUGUUCUCAGGGCAACACCGGAUGAACACUACGUACAACUAAAAGCAACCCUCAAGUUUCCCCGAGGUGGCGAUGCAAGUGGCUCUGGUUCGGACCAACACUUAGACAAGCACUGGCACGGGGGGGCUAAAAUAAAGAUGACCCUCGGGUUGGCCGACCCAAGGGAAGGGUAUAGGUGGUGGUGAGGCAAAUGGUAAAACCAAGGUUGGGCCUUGCUGGAGGAGUUUUAUUCAAAGCGAACUGUAGAGGGGGUCCCAUAAAUCACCCAACCGCGUAAGGAACGCAAAAUCCGGGAACAUAACACCGGUAUGACAGAAACUAGGGCGGCAAGAGUGGAACAAAACACCAGGCAUAAGGCCGAGCCUUCCACCCUUUACCAAGUAUAUAGAUGCAUUAAUUAGAUAAGAGAUAUUAUGAUAUCCCAACCAAAAUCCUGUCCACCAUGGAGCAAUCUUCAACUUCACCUGCAACUAGCAACGCUAUAAGAGGGGCUGAGCAAGGCGGUAACAUAGCCAAGCAACGGUUUGCUAGGAAGGGUGUCAAAGGUUAGAGGUUCAUGGCAAUUUGGGAUGGCUUGAUAAACAGGUGAUAGGUAGCGCAGCAUAGCGAUAGAACGAGGCAACUAGCAUAGCAAUGAUAGUAGUGAGAUCCAGGGUAGCGGUCAUCUUGCCUGAAAUCCCGCUAGGAAGAAGAACGAGUCCAUGAAGAAGAUGAAGGGAUGAAGCCAAACCAAGCGUAGAUGAACGAAUCCUCACGAUCGUAACGAAACAGGAACUAUCGAAAAGAAGCACACAACAUAGUAAACACACCACACAUGAACAAGGCAUGAUGCACAAACAAGUAUGAUGCAAGACAAGACUACAUGAAGCUACCCAUGGCAAGAGAUGAUGCAAACAAGAGCAACACACUAAGGCAAGUUUAAAUGAGGCCGGGAACAACAUAUAACAAUUCCGGUAAGUCCUCAUAGGCAACUUUCGAAAUUGGUCCAGAUCUGAAUAAAACUUAUGUUCAAGUUGUUAAACAGCAAGUUAAGAUGCACCAAGAUGAUCUACACGAGAUUCUAGUCAAGUUAGAUAUAAAGUUCAUUAGAUUUGGAGCUACGGCCUAGAAGAUAUGAGCAAAACAAGUUAAACAUGGCAUUGAUGCAAAAUGCAUUCAAACAUCAAGAAAAGACACCAAAACAAGGAUGCCACAUGAUAAUAUGAAACUAUAUGCUAAAUCAAGCAAGUUUCAUAUAGAGCACACUCAAAACGGAGCAACGGUUCAACACAUACACUUCAAACAUGAUAUAACAACCUGUCCAAAACAGCAACUAGGCAUAUUGCAAGCAUCAAAACAACAUGCUACAGUACCACAAUAUGAAAACAAAAGGCAUGGGCAUGAUGUAUAGGUAAAGCAUAACAAAACAUGAACACUGAGCUAUCUCCAGAAAUCACUAGAACAAGCUUAAACACACAUGGCAAGAUUCCAAAUGAUAAGAGUUCUGACUUUGCAGAAAUUAACAUCAGAUUGCAAUGUUUAGAGCUAUCAAACAACAUGUUACAGGAACUUAUCAUGGCAAACAAAGGCAUGGCAUGAAUCUACUAAUUGCAUAGAACAAGAGUCCCUUACUCACCAUGAGCCAAAAGAAUCAGAAAAUAUGAUGGCACCCACGUAAACAUGGCAAGUUAUAUUACAGAUUCAUACAUGGCAGGAACAGAAUUAUGAAGGCAUGUUGGUGAGCUUGUACCACUCACUACAGAGCAAUACAUUACAUGGCAAGGCAACCAACAGUCAGAAUACAUGUUUGUGAAGCUAAGAAUGGCAAAAGCAAGUUCAUAGGGUGCAUGGAACACUAGCAACAAUCAUGGCAACAACUGAACUUAAUGUUAACAGGCUGACAGCAACAUUAUGAAGCAACUUUGGGGCAAGAUUACAACAAGCUACAGCAGGCUAUAAAUGCAACCAGGGGCAUGAAUGGAUAGACAAUAACCAUAUGUUCAAAACAUCCUUACUGAAGUAUCUCAAAAUAAGCAUGGAUCUCUCUGUAGCAUCAUGUUUACAUGGCAUCAAAAUAACAGCAGAACAGGGACUAAAAUCAGUAACAUCACGAUGCCUACUUUGCAUGCUUGUGCUAGUCACCACAUUGAUCACAAAAAUACAUGGUAAACACCUCUGUAAAGAAGACAUGGCAUAGAUCAAAACACAUGUAGACAUCAACCUCAUAGGAUGCACACAUCAGACAUGGCAAAAAUGACAAAUGAACAUGUUCUGUUAACAGACAGCAGACAACAUCAUGAAGCACUCUUGCAACAAUGAUUCAGGCAUUAAGAUGACCUCAAAUGAACAUGAUGCAAUGGAAUGAAAUGAAGUACUCGUUGAGACGAACAAUUUGACAUAUUACACGCACAAAACGGAGCUACGGAUGCAGAGAUAUGAUGCGAUGAACGUGGCAUGAUAAUGUCACAGAUUCGGGGACUUAGGGAUUUUCGGGGGUCAACCUUAGGUCUUCUCUGGAUCUGGAUCCGGGCGGCACGGAUCCCGAGGAUCACCGGAGGACGCUCGCCGGAGCUGUGGGAGGAGGAGGAGGAGAUGGCCGGAGAGGAAGAAGGGGCCAGAGUUGGCCGGAUCUGGGGGCACCAUGAUAGCGUCGGGAUGAUGAAGAUGGCCACCGAUGAUAGGUUCCCCCUCCGGCAGGGUGCCGGAACAGGGUCCCGAUUGGUUUUUCGUGGCUCUGGAGGCUUGCAGCGGCGGAACUCCAGAUCUAGGUUCUGUUCUGGAAGUUUUAGGGUACGUAGGUAUAUAUGGGUGCAAGGGGUACGUCGGUGGACCUCCGGGGUGCUCACGAGGUAGGGGGCGCGCCCAGGGGGUAGGGCGCGCCCCCCACCCUCGUGGGCAGCCCGGGACUCCCCUAACGUGCACUCCAAGUCUAUCAGGUUGCUUUCCUUCCAAAAAUAACUUCUCCAGUUGAUUUCGUUCCGUUUUGACUCCAUCUGAUAUUCCUUUUCCUCGAAACACUGAAAUAGGCAUAAAACAGCAAAUCUGGGCUGGGCCUCCGGUUAAUAGGUUAGUCCCAAAAAUAAUAUAAAAGUGGAUAAUAAAGCCAAAUAUUGCCUAAAACAGUAGAUAAAGUAGCAUGGAGCAAUCAAAAAUUAUAGAUAUGUUGGAGACGUAUCAGCUUCCUCGACGCAUACUCCGGAUACCAUCAAAUCAAGAUGGCGGAGUCCGACCAAGCCGCAAUGGCUUUCAUUAUUGCAUAUGGCCCCUUCUAUUUUAACACCAUGCCUUUCGGGCUCAAAAACACCGGCACAACCUAUCAACGCAUGAUUCAAACAUGCCUGGAAAAACAAAUCGGCAAGACAGUAGAGGCCUAUGUAGACGACGUGGUCAUCAAAACAAGACACGUUGAAACUUUAAUAGACGACUUGAGGCUUACAUUUGACAACCUCCGAACAUACGAAAUCAAGCUCAACCUGGAGAAGUGUGUCUUCGGGGUACCCUCUGGGAAACUGCUCGGCUUCAUCGUUUCCAAUAGAGGAAAUGAAGCAAAUCCGGCAAAAAUCCGAGCUCUGUCACAGUUGGCUAUCCCAACAGACCUCAAGCAGAUCCAGAAACUAACUGGAUGCGUAGCUUCCUUAAGCCGCUUUAUCUCCCGCUUAGGAGAAAAGGCACUACCUCUUUAUCGCCUUCUUCAAUGCACCGAACACUUCGAGUGGACGGAUGCGGCCACGGCCUGCUGGAAGAAAUAAAGGCACUAUUGGCCACAAACCCAGUCCUGACCGCGCCAAACAUUGGCGAACCCAUGCUAUUAUACAUAGCCGCAACAAACCAAGUUGUGAGUGCGGUGAUUGUCGUCGAACGAGAGGCAGACGGACAGAAGUUCCCGCUCCAAAAGCCGGUAUAUUACGUGUCCACUGUCCUCACUCCAUGCAAAUCUCGAUACCCACACUAUCAAAAGAUAGCAUACGCGGUCUUCAUGGCAUCCCGGAAACUACAACACUACUUUCAAGAGUGUUCGAUCACGGUGGCCUCCGAAGUACCACUCAAUGACAUAAUAAAUAACCGCGACGCAACAGGCCGAAUUGCUAAAUGGGUAUGAGCUCCUUCCGUUCGACAUAACAUACAAACCACGGCGGGACAUUAAGUCGCAAGUACUAGCUGACUUCGUCGCCGAAUGGACAGAAGCCGAACUCCCUAAAGAGUACGACGCGUACUCAAAUUGGAUCAUGCAUUUUGACGGCUCUAAAAUGCUGGCCGGAUUGGGAGCGGGUGUUGUCCUAACAUCCCCCAUCGGAGACACGGUUCAGUACGUCCUCCAAAUAUUAUACACAGACUCCAACAAUGCAGCCGAAUACGAGGCUCUGUUGCAUGGUCUUCGGAUGGCAGUCUACAUGGGCAUCCAACGCCUCGAAGUGCGCGGGGACUCGAACCUCGCAAUAUCUCAGGUAAAUAGAGACUUUGAUGCCAAGGACCCGAAAAUGGCGGCCUAUCACAAUGUCGUCCUCAAAAUGUCAGCUCGGUUCGAGGGGCUCGAAUUCCACCAUGUGGUUAGAGAAAAUAACAAGCGGCCGAUAUCCUCGCCCGCAUCGAUGCUAAACGUGACCCCGUCCCACCUAAUAUCUUCUUAGAAAGGUUGUUCAAGCCGUCCGUGGCAUGGGAAGGGGAGUCCGGCACUAUUAGUCCGGCUCCAAACACAACCCCAGAUUCUGAACCUUGUGACAUAAUCGGAGGCUCUGCCACCAAAAUAACACCUUCGGCCCAUGAAAUAAUGGCGGUCAUCGCCCCGUGGACCGAGCCCUUCUUGGCCUACGGAAAUAGGCAAGAGCUCCCCGAGGAUCAAAAUGAGGCACGUUGUAUUGUGCGACGCUCUAAGGCCUACAAAGUCCAUGAAGGAGAACUCUACAAGAAGAGCGCCACCAGAGUGCUCCAACGAUGCAUCUCCGAAGAGGAAGGGCGACAGCUCUUAGCCGAAAUCCAUUCCGGACUAGGCGGGCACCACGCGGCAGCCCGAGCUCUCGUAAGCAAGGCCUUUCAGACAGGAUUUUACUAGCCGACAACCCGGGCGGACGCACAGGACCUUGUCCAACAUUGCGUUGGUUGUCAACUAUUUGCCAAUCAGAGCCAUAUGCCCCCUACCGCUCUCCAAACAAUCCCCAUAACUUGGCCCUUCACGGUCUGGGGGCUGGAUAUGGUGGGACCCCUUAAAAAGGGAAGCCAUAAGAAAAAAUACUUAUUGGUCAUGGUGGACAAGUUCACCAAAUGGAUAGAAGCCAACCCAGUUAAAACGGCCGAAUCCGGACCAGUGAUAGACUUCAUAUCGGAGGUCGUACAUCGUUACGGUGUCCCCCACAGUAUCAUCACUAACAAUGGCUUGAAUUUUAUAGCCGAGGAGAUGAAAACCUGGUGCGGCAAAAUGGGCAUCAAGCUCGACUACGCCUCUGUCUAUCACCCCCAAACAAACAGUCAAGUUGAACGUGCAAAUGGUCUUAUCAUGAGCGGCAUUAAACCCAAACUAGUGCGAUCCUUGAAGGAAUCAGACACGCAUUUGGUCGAGGAACUCGACUCCGUACUCUGGGGGCUGCGGACCACGCUGAAUCGUACCACCGGAUACACCCCAUUUUUUAUGGUGUACGACGCAGAAGCAGUGCUGCCCUGCGAUAUAAUCCAUGACUCUCCUCGUGUGCGCAUGUAUGAAGAGAAGGAAGCCGAUCUAGAUCGGUAGGACAACUUAGAUGCUUUGGAGGAGGAGCAUGAUGUCACUAAAGCCCGUUCCGCAUUCUAUCAGCAACAGGCUCGAAGGUAUCAAAGCAGAGAAGUACGGGCCAAAACUUAUAACAUUGGCGAACUCGUUCUGCGUCUCCCCAAGAAGAAGAAGGACAAGCUCAAGCCCAAGUGGGAGGGUCCCUUCAUCAUUGAUAAAGUUCUCACCGAAGGAGCAUACCGUGUGCGCAAUGCAUCUGAUAACAGACUCGAGCCAAACCCAUGGAACGCGGCCAGACUCCGGAGAUUCUACGCCUAGCGCCGAACUUAGUGUUCGUCUCCUUACCUCUGGCGCUUCAAUUAUGUUCUCUUUCUUCCUUUCUCGCCCUUUUUUCCUUUUUAACAUACAACCUUAAAACUGUGCGGAUGCCCUGAGCACUCCGGCCGCAUUAUGCGCGCACACUAUACCUGGGGGCUUCCUAUUCGGAAGCUAAAUACAACUACUUUAAUGGCUCCUUGCCAGCCACAUAUGCAUUUUUCUUUCCAUAUGUGCCUUUUCUUCACCAUUAUAUGCAUCGAUAUGACUUCAGUUUUGGCCAUGCUGGGUUGCCUGGCUCUUGUAUUUAUGCCCUACAUUCCCGUUAAUUCGGCUAGGGCAUAAGGGGGGCACCUCUGCGAUUCUUACUGCCGGUUGAGCCGGAUGUGUACCUCAGACUGGGUGAAGCCGAAGGCUAGAAUUCUUAAGGGAAUAUUUGGUCGAUGAACAAAAGAUCUUCUCAUUCAUUACAACGAAAAUACCCAGAUGUUUUGUUUCCUCUGCUUCUGUUCGCAGUUCGGACAUGCACAUCGAUGCAUGCGCACCUAGAGAAAGGAACCCCUAACGGAACUAUUCUCUCUAGAAGAUGUUUCUUACUAUCCAUGUAAUAUAACAUAACUAGUUGGGUACUUAUCUGUUCAAGCACUUAUGACCCCUACGCCUGGUUUCCAUGCAUACCCCGGUUUUUCAUAACUGUGUGGGUAUUCAGAUACACCCCGGACCAUCGGAUCCGGGGGCUGAAGCAAAAAGGUCCGCCAUGACAAAUGAUUUUUCAUCCGGCUAGGAAGUACAUGAGCCCAUUCAAAUUACAUAGUCAUUUAGACUGGCCAAACUCUUCCUCGAUACCAUCCAACAGGCUGUCUAGCUUACAAUCCUGUUGAGAAUACUUUGCAGCUAACGCUACUUGGUCAUAUACCAGACUAACAGGUAUCUCUUGUCCAUCUGACCCCACCAGUCCGACUUCGGCCAUAUGGUUCGGGUCAGCCUUGGCGUAUCGCGUCUUCACCAUGGCCCAAGCUUCUCUCGCACCUUGCCGGCAAGCUAAUAUCUUCCAUAAUCGGAAGCAUCGUCGUGCUCCUUUAAGCAUCUCGACAAGUUCGCUCAUACCUCCUGGCAGGGAAGCGGAUGGCCACAAGGCCUGGGCAAUUCCCUGCAUCACCUGUCGAGCUCGUUCGUGCAGUUGUGAAAGCUCUUGCAGCACAUCGCCUGCGGAACCGGGCAUCUCCUCUUCAGGACGGCCCAUCAACAUACCUGCAGACAUAACUCUGUCAAUACGCUUCCUCGCCGAACUAUACUACAGUUCGUUCAAGCACUUACUAUAAAUGCCACGUCGAAGCCUCCGGUUCUCCUUCACGGAGUCCGCGAGCUGAGCCUGAACAUCUUUCAAUUUGACGCUCAGUUGGAUAUUAGCAUCUUGCAGCUUAUUCUUCUCCUGAAUAGACUGCAUCAGAACGCGUUCGCCCGUCUUCAGCUGACUUCGCAGAUGCAGCUCAUUAUCCCCCACAGUCUUCGGAUUUCCUCCGGGAUCGUCUGCCGAAUCUUUAAUCAGAUUUAUAAACCAUGUCGAACAAACAAACUGGUAGAAGGAAAUGUUUACCAGAAGAAGCCUUUUUGGAUUCCUCUUGUUCGGCUACAUUGGCCUUCAUUUGGGCCUUACGUUCCUCCAGCUCUUGAGACAACUGGGCAUUCUUCUCUACAAGAACCUAUGCAUUUCAUGAUCCUUAAAUCAGUUGUGCCAUUUGUUUCAAGUCUCAGGGGCUACUACUACACAUACUUAUUAAAUUCUCUUACCUGUAUAUCCUUCACAUACUGGUCUGUUGCUCUGGCAAGUCCAUCUUGAGCAGCGCGGAUAUAUGCGUGUCCAGAAUUGAAGGCAUUAAACGCCUCUUCGGAAAAAAUACCACCGGGGAGUACGGCCCGUCGGCGCCGAUGAUUCAUGGCGCUCUCCACUUCAGAAUUUGUGGCGGAAAGCAUAUCCGUAUCCUCCGCAGGAGGACAGUUCUGCACUGUCCCCAGAUCAGCCUCCGUCCGUGAAUCCGGUCCGGGAAUCCGGCUGCUGGAGGCGUGGCUGGUAGGGUCCCCGGACAUAGUCCGGCGUUUCCUAUCAGGACAUAAUUAAAGCCGUCACGCCUCGACAAAAAGACCAAAUAAACCACGGGGCAAGUUUAAUGAAAUACCUCUGCGCUUGCGUCUCGGUCCUAACCGCCUUCCUUUUAAGCCUACCUUGCCUAGGCGCCUCUUGCUGAGAGGCCCCUGCGGGUUCCGCGCGGCGUCCUGAUGGCCGUUUCUAUAAAAAUACGACGUGAGAGCAUAAGGUACGGCAUAACGAAGGAAUCCUUUCGGAAAGUUGGGACCCCGACAUUACUUACAUGCGACACGGGAAGCAGUCUAGGAUAAUCCACGAUGAUGGCCACUAAAGAUCCAUCACUGCUUGCCUGGUAGAAAGUCCCGUUGGCAAAGUCCACGGAUAUGUCCGGAUCUUCUUCAAGUCCGGGAUCGAGAGCCCGACCGGGAUCCUUUGGCCACGGAGAGGGGUUGUUGAACUCUUUCACAGCCUUCCUUAGUUCCUGUUUUGAAACGGUAAGGUAAAUAACUGUGACAAGGAAGAUAAGAAUGGACAGAGUCGAGUAAAAGAUGGCAACUCACCCAACUUCGGGGGUUAUAGAUGGAAAAUCCAUCCCGCGAUUUAAUGCGGAGGAACUCCUCUUCUUCUCCUUUGUACAAAUCGGACAGUAUCCUCGCCAAAGUUGUGGCGGAGUCCGGACCUUUGCGACCACAGCAGGAGGCAUCGUCUUCUCCAUUGAAGUGCCACAUGGGUUUUCCCCUAUAUUGAACUGGCUGCACUCCCCUUAUUACGCAUAUUAACAUAACUUCGAUUAUUGUCAAUCCUGAUUUGGCCAGGGUUUUUAUCCGGCUCAUCAGAUAGAGGACUUCUCUGUUAUCUUUCUCCUGGGGGCUCCCAGGGCGCCAGCUUUGGCGUUUUGUCAGCGGAGUGUUGGUAAACUCAGGAAGGCCCGUCCAGACUGGGUCCGGAAGGGGAACAUCAUCAAAAUAAAAACACUUUGAGGGCCAGUUUUUGGGCGCCUUCUUUGGAGUGCCGGGCAGGUAUCCGGUCUGGGCGAUGCGCCAUAUUUCGGCUCCUCCCACUUGAUAUAUAGAUCCCUCCUGGUUGCGGGGGACGAGGCAGAAUAGCCUCUUCCAUAACUUGAAAUGAGCUUCGCAGCCCAGGAACAGCUCGCAGAGGGCAACAUAACCCGCGAUGUGCAGUGUGGAGGCGGGGGUAAGAUUAUGCAACUGGAGACAGUAGAACUCCAGGACCCCGCAGAGGAAUGGGUGGAUUGGAAACCCGACGCCUCUUAGUAGAUAUGGGACAAGGCAUACCCGCUCCCUCCGAGAGGGGCUGGGGAAUCUCUCCGCUUGCUCCCCGCCAUUAUAGGUGGCUAGUCCAGAUCGGACGGGGACCAUGUAUGCGGGCGGGAGGAACCCUUUGGUCUGCAGCUCUAUUAGGCGGCUGUGAGGGAUGGAACACUUUUCCCAAUCCCCUGGUUUCGAGCUAGGGGAGCGACGAGCAGGGCUGCGGCGAUCGGUCAUGAUAGGAUGGCCUCUUUUGUACGCGCUCUGCGGAAUGCUUGCUUGGGAGAAGGUGGUGUGCUUUGGAUCUGAGGAUUCCCGUCUCUUCAAAUAGAUGGUUAGUUUGCAGGGUCAGGGUGUCAAAUGUAAAAAUGCCCUGCCCACUCGUCUUCGCUCGGCACGUGGAGAUGGUCAUUAUUGAAGCACAGAAGCCGAGAAGUACAACAUUAUUGGGAGGCCGAACAUUGUUCGCUACGGUGGGUACCGUGGAUUUGGAGAAGAACCCGCCUUGCAAUGCCAAAGACAAUCUGCGUGCUGGAUCAUCGUCAUUGAAGCCUGGUUCGGGGGCUACUGAGGGAGUCCUAGAUAAGGGGGUAUCCGGACAGCCGGACUAUAUACUUUGGCCGGACUGUUGGACGGUGAAGAUACAAGAUUGAAGACUUCAUCCCGUGUCUGGAUGGGACUCUCCUUGGCGUGGAAGGCAAGCUUGGCGAUUCGGAUGUAGAUCUCCUUCUCUAUAAACCGACCCUGUGUAACCCUAGCCCCCUCCGGUGUCUAUAUAAACCGGAGGGUUUAGUCCGUAGGACACAACAACAAUCAUACCAUAGGCUAGCUUCUAGGGUUUAGCCUCUCUGAUCUCGUGGUAGAUCGACUCUUGUAAUACUCAUAUCAUAAAGAUCAAUCAAGCAGGAAGUAGGGUAUUACCUCCAUCAAGAGGGCCCGAACCUGGGUAAACAUCGUGUCCCCAGCCUCCUGUUACCAUUAGCCUUAGACGCACAGUUCGGGACCCCCUACCCGAGAUCCGCCGGUUUUGACACCGACAGCCACCUCGGUCGUGUGCCCGUCCGCGAAGGAGGAGGAAGGGGAUUCUGUUUUCCGCCAAGGCGCCCUGGGCAUGCUCCUCGGGCCCUUCAUCACCUCUCUCCUGAAGAAGCAGAACAACAUGACACAGGUCCUCUCCUCCCUUGUCAGCUUUCAUUUUGUUUGAGAUUAUUUUGUUCAGCAACUCCGUGGUUUCAUUCCGUUGCACUCAGCACGAUUCUGGUCUUAUUAAUGUUGGGGGCGAGCAGAUGCUGCAGGGCAUGGUGAUUCCAGUUCUUUCAUUCAGUCAUGUUCUUUCAUUCAGUCAAAUUCAGUCAAGUUCUACUAAUACCGCCGCAGGGUAAGACAAUGUGUGUCCCUUUGAAAUUGUCACUUGAAUUUUUUAUAGUUCGGAUAUAUGUUCCAGUUCUUUCAUUCAGUCAAGUUGUACCUGAAUGUGCCUGAAUGUGCUGAUAAUUCUUUCUCAAAUUAGCCUGAAUGUGCUGCGUUGAGCUCUGAUGAUAGUGUAUUCUUCCAAAUUAUGCAUGAAUCUGUAGCACACCAUGACACUACUAUUACUGGAUCAUAUCCAUUUUUAUUUUCUCAUUUAGAUCAUCCCCAUUUUUAUUUUCACUUUUCAGUUUUACAUGUAGAUUUUGACCCCAAAAAACACAUGGUAUUUUUAACACUUUUCAGUUUGCAUUAUCCUGGAUAUAGAACAUGGAUCUCGGAAUAAUUUAAAUAUUCUGAAUAAUUCAAUAAUUCACAGAGGCAUAACAAUUGAAAUGUAGCUUCAAAUGUCAAAAAUUAGUGUCCCGGAUAAUUACUCCUGGAUACAGAACAUGGAUCAGUUUUCAGUUUGCAUAACACUUUUCAGUUUGCAUUAUCCUUCUGUGAAUAAUUCAAAUGUCCUGGAUACAGAACAUGGAUAACACUGUAUAUUUAGUGUAGAAUCUUUUUAGUAGUUUUAAUUUUGGCCACUAUUUCUGUUGUUUAAUAACUUCUCUGAAUUUUGGCCACUACUACAGUAACUUCAAGUGAGUAACUACAAUAACAUCAAGUGAGUAACUCCAAUUUCUGAAUUUUUUUACAUUACACUAACCAUGAUAUUUGUUCCUCUGUUCUGGUCAUAAUUAUAAUCUGAUUGUUGAACCCUUAAUCAUUCUGAUAAUGUUUACAUGAUGCACAAUUAUACUGCUGUCAAAACUACUCCAUACACACUAUCAAAACUGACAAGAUGGUGGUGGUGGUGGAGUAACAUCUUUUACAUCUCUGUUUUGGUCAAAACUGAAUGUUGAUUCCUUGCAUCAUCUACUCUGAAUGAUUUAAUACUGAUAACUUCAGCAUCUAUAGACUUUGUGUUGUGGCAGCAGCUAAAACCCCUACAUCUUGCCUCUCUGUUUUUAAAGCUGCUAUUUCAAUUGUUACUGAACCUUGUUAAGUUUUUAACAAAAUAAUUACUAGUGCAUCUAGGAAUCAUUUAAGUUCUGCUGCUAUAUGAAGUGGUGCAGCUAUAUGAUCAUGCUAGAAUAUGCAUUUACAUAGACUGACUAAUGGCUCAAUAUAUUCUUAACUUUGUUACUGUAUUUAUCUAGAGAUGGGAGAAUAUCACCAUGUCCUGACUUAGUUACUCUUGCACUCACCUAUGCUGCUGUUGCACUAAUUUCAGUUCCCUCUCUCAGUUGUUCUAUUGCAUGACCAUGUAUAGAUAGAAUUUGUUCCCUCUGGUCCAAAUAGGUGAGCGAGCCAUCCAUCGAAUUGCCCGCAAAAAUUUGCAUACUCCAUGUGUGUUCACUAAAUUUUUAGUGCACUCAUGGAAGCAUGCAUUUUCCAAUCAAUUAAUAGUGAUAACUGAUUCCUUUGGUCUGUCCUUCAAAAUUAUCAGAUGCACUAUUUAGAAUCCAGUUUUGUGAUCUGGGGAACUAUAAUUAUUCUGAUUAUCAACUUGACUGAAUAUCAACUUGCUAGAUCAAAAGCUGAUAGAAAUUGAUAGGUUUUGAGCAUCAAGAGAUCUGAAUGGAGUUAACUCGUAUUGAGAAGUUAACUGAAUUUUUUUGUAUCAACAUUGCACCAUUUCAGCAUGACAACUCAACUCAACUAACCUCAACUCAAUUCAGCAAUUAUCUUGCAGGUUCAGGAAUUAUCUUUGCAGAUUCUCCAGACACAACAAUAAUCUUCAGACUCACACCACUAGUUGAAUUGCAGCAGUAGUAGAGGUGGGCGGGGCAGACUCACUAGCACCAGUACCAGCAGAGUCAGGGCAAGGGAAAGGGAAGAAGCAUCAUCAGAGGUCCACGUCGGCGUCUCCUACCAACAGUAGUAACAUCAGUGGCGGGAGUGGCCGGAAUUGUCCGUGCCGGUGGUGGCCAAAGCAGAAGAAGUCAGAGGCAUAGGUUUGUGGUUGUGGGCGGCGAAGGUGGUUGCGCAGGAAGGCGACCGUGGCCAGCAUAGGUGGGCUACAGCAUGUGGCAAGAUUCAACGGGGCUGGUGGCGCAGCUCGAGGCGGGCGUCAGCACAGGUUGCCUUCACGGCGGGCACCGCAGGUGGGAAGCCUUGGCGCAUGUUGGGGAUAUAACUAUUUGUGUAAGCCUCCCAGGAGGGGUCGGGUUAUUCAAAGAGGAUUCCCCAGAGAGAAGCCCAAGACCAAGGCAUGAAGAUGGCGGUUCAUAGAUAGCUUAAGGCCCAGGGGCGACUUAAGGCUCGUUGUCGUAAACCGUUGUAAUAAUAUUACUUGUAUCAUAAGGUAGACUUAACUAGUCACCGAUCCGGACAUUGUUUAUAAGCCGGCCGGGACUCUGUAAGCCGCAGGGCGUCGACCCGUGUAUAUAAGGGGACGACCCGCUGGCGGCUUAGGGCAAGAAACAACUCAUCGAGAGCCAGGCAUAGCGUAUCUUGCUCCCUGUUCAUCGAAACAUCAAUACCAACCCAACUAGACAUAGGCCUUACCUUCACCGUAAGGGGCCGAACUAGUAUAAAA
rnacentral:lncRNA from 1 species